rnacentral:lncRNA from 1 species
UACAGGUCAGCCAACACUGCGAUAAAAGGGUUCAGGUUUUUGGUUAUGGAAAAAUGAUAAGUUCAACAGUUUACUGCUGAAAUUGGUGACAAUGAAAUCCAUUUUAGGGUUAAGUACUGAUAUCCCACUUUAGUUGUGAUUUUACAUUCAAGCAGUUCUAGCUUUCAAACCCAUUUUCUACAAAACUUUUUGAGAAAUUUUAAAGCCUAGCUUCAAUUCAGUUUCGCUGCUCCUUUCCCGGAUUUUGUUCUGGAAAAAGCAUUAAAAACAAUAAAGAGAUGAAAAGGAAAAGGAGGAUAAGGAGAUUGGAGACCCACAAAAUAUAAUUCAAGUAGGAAUGAGUCCUUGUGUGGAUUCUGUACCGUGAAUUGUGGAAGUACCCGAAAAAGUAUAUAUUAUCCCUCGGUUCAGUCUGCAGUUGCCCAACUGAACCUUUUUAAGUAAAAAAAAAACAGCUGAACCUCUGAUGAGAUCUCUUGGCCUCCAUCAGACACCAACAAAACUGAUCCACCCUUUGUCUGUCUCUUAUUGUUUCUUACUCAUACAGCUGCCUGAUGUCUCUCUUGUCUAUGCAAUCAAACAUCCCCAUAAUGCAUUAAAAGGUCAGUGCUUGUGCAUUCACUUUCUUCCCCCCCCCCUUUGAUUUUCCCUCUUAGACCCUGUUUUAUUGGUUAGAGGAAAUGAUUUCUUUGAAAAUAUUAUGUUCAUGGUUUCUAUUUUGCAUUUGUUUGUUAUUGAUGGGUUCUCCUGCAAAUUUAGAAAGAUGCCUUUGUUUAUUUGCUAUUUCAUUCGGAGAAAUUCCCCAUGGCAGUUGCCUUGAACAGUUUGGGGUGUGAUUUGUGAUUUGUUUCCUUGUUUCACAUGUGUAUAUUGAAAUGAUGUCAAUUAUAUUUAUUAGUAAUAGUCAGAAACUGAGAAGCUGUUAUUCACUGACAAUUACCAUGGCUUGCAUCAAGCUUGUCCUAUGCUUGUUAAUUUCAGUGCACUUAGGUAGUUUUGUCCACUAUCAUGGGCAUGAGAGGGG